rnacentral:rRNA from 1 species
GAUGAACGCUGGCGGCGUGCCUAAUACAUGCAAGUCGAGCGAACGGACGAGAAGCUUGCUUCUCUGAUGUUAGCGGCGGACGGGUGAGUAACACGUGGAUAACCUACCUAUAAGACUGGGAUAACUUCGGGAAACCGGAGCUAAUACCGUAUAAUAUUUUGAACCGCAUGGUUCAAAAGUGAAAGACGGUCUUGCUGUCACUUAUAGAUGGAUCCGCGCUGCAUUAGCUAGUUGGUAAGGUAACGGCUUACCAAGGCAACGAUGCAUAGCCGACCUGAGAGGGUGAUCGGCCACACUGGAACUGAGACACGGUCCAGACUCCUACGGGAGGCAGCAGUAGGGAAUCUUCCGCAAUGGGCGAAAGCCUGACGGAGCAACGCCGCGUGAGUGAUGAAGGUCUUCGGAUCGUAAAGCUCUGUUAUUAGGGAAGAACAUAUGUGUAAGUAAAUGUGCACAUCUUGACGGUACCUAAUCAGAAAGCCACGGCUAACUACGUG